rnacentral:lncRNA from 1 species
ACUAAGGGGGUGUUUGGGAAACACCUGUUAAAGUUUAACACCUAUCACAUCGGAUGUUUGGAUGCUAAUUAGGAGUACUAAACAUAAGCUAAUUACAAAACUAAUUGCACGGAUGGAGUAUAAUUCGCGAGACGAAUCUAUUAAGCCUAAUUAGUCCAUGAUUUGACAAUGUGGUGCUACAGUAACCAUUUGCUAAUGAUGGAUUAAUUAGGCUUAAUAGAUUCGUCUCGCG